GACGAACGCUGGCGGCGUGCUUAACACAUGCAAGUCGAGCGGGUAAGGCCCUUUCGGGGGUACACGAGCGGCGAACGGGUGAGUAACACGUGGGUGACCUGCCCUCAGCUCUGGGAUAAGCCUGGGAAACCGGGUCUAAUACUGGAUAUGACUCCAUGACGCAUGUUGUGGGGUGGAAAGCCUUGUGCGGCUGAGGAUGGGCCCGCGGCCUAUCAGCUUGUUGGUGGGGUGANGGCCUACCAAGGCGACGACGGGUAGCCGGCCUGAGAGGGCGACCGGCCACACUGGGACUGAGACACGGCCCAGACUCCUACGGGAGGCAGCAGUGGGGAAUCUUGCGCAAUGGGCGAAAGCCUGACGCAGCGACGCCGCGUGAGGG
rnacentral:rRNA from 1 species